rnacentral:rRNA from 1 species
CCCCUAGAUGUUCUGGGCCGCACGCGCGCUACACUGAACAGUUCAACAAGUCUUAACCUUGGCCGAUAGGUCUGGGUAAUCUUUGAACGCUGUUCGUGAUUGGGAUAGACCUUUGCAAUUAUGGGUCUUCAACGAGGAAUUCCUAGUAAACGCAAGUCAUCAGCUUGCAUUGAUUACGUCCCUGCCCUUUGUACACACCGCCCGUCGCACCUACCGAUUGAAUGGUCCGGUGAAAUCUCGGGACGGCGGCUUGGUCGCUUGCGUCCGACCGCUGAAACUUGAUUAAACCAUAUCAUUUAGAGGAAGGUGAAGUCGUANCA